rnacentral:rRNA from 1 species
AGAGAUUAAAUUUUCGGUUCCGGCCGGACGAAACAACAGGUGCUGCAUGGCUGUCGUCAGCUCGUGUCGUGAGAUGUUGGUUAAGUCCCGCAACGAGCGCAACCCUCACUUUUAGUUGCCAUCAUUAAGUUGGGCACUCUGAAAGAACUGCCAGUGAUAAGCUGGAGGAAGGUGGGGAUGACGUCAAGUCCUCAUGGCCCUUACGUGUUGGGCUACACACGUGCUACAAUGGUAUCUACAACAGGAAGCAAGACGGCGACGUUAAGCAAAUCCUUAAAAGAUACCUCAGUUCGGAUUGCACUCUGCAACUCGAGUGCAUGAAGCUGGAAUUACUAGUAAUCGUGGAUCAGCGUGCCACGGUGAAUGCGUUCCCGGGUCUUGUACACACCGCCCGUCACACCAUGGGAGUUGGUUCUACCUUAAGGCAAGGUUUCAAACCCUUGACCACGGUAUAGUCAGCGACUGGGGUG